rnacentral:misc_RNA from 1 species
UGGUUCCGGCAUNGAUGAAGAACGCAGCGAAAUGCGAUAACUAAUGUGAAUUGCAGAAUUCAGUGAAUCAUCGAGUCUUUGAACGCACAUUGCGCCCUCUGGUAUUCCGGAGGGCAUGCCUGUCCGAGCGUCAUUGCUGCCCUCCAGCCCGGCUGGUGUGUUGGGCCCCGCCCCCCUUCCCGGGGGGGCGGGCCCGAAAGGCAGCGGCGGCACCGCGUCCGGUCCUCGAGCGUAUGGGGCUUUGUCACCCGCUCUUGUAGGCCCGGCCGGCGCCAGCCGACCCCCUCAAUCUAUUUUUUCAGGUUGACCUCGGAUCAGGUAGGGAUACCCGCUGA